UUGCGUUCCGAGUAGGGCUUCCUCACCAAACUCAACCACGCCUCUGUUUAUCACAAACUGGAUAGUUUCUCUUUCAAUCUCUUCACCUCCUCUGUUGAUAUCUCUUCCCCUUCUCUAUGCUUCAUUCUCUUUCAUGGAUCUUAUUAAUCACAGUAAUCUCACUUACGAUGUCGUCUUUUCCGUUUCCUUUUCUUCAAAUCUAUAGAUAUCAGUGGGUUGGGUCUAUGAUUGAUCCUCUCAAACCACUUUCUGUUGAUCAUUUUAUGAAGAUUUGAAAGAUUUUAAAAGAUGGCUUUAUCCGGUGUUGUUCUCGCGCACUCAGCCUUUGAUGGUCUUCGCUUCGGUAGAUCCGCCCAGUUCAUAGUUGGCUGUAUGCUCAGUUUUUGGGAUUCUACAAACAUCAGGAAGCAAGGUGAAUUCAUGGGAAUCACCCUCCUCCUCUUUGAUGAGAAGAAUUCUGUGAUACAUGGAUUCAUUCCUGCUAGGUUUUACCAGUCAGAGCUUCUCUUGAAAUUCCGCACCAAUCCAUCUUCUCUCGGUUCUUUGUGGAGGUAGUGACGCCCGAUGGGAUUCCAAGAAUCCAUGAUGUGAAUACCCAAACCCGCUCCAAGAGUUUUUGAGUUAUGCCUUUACGAGGCUAAUGUACCGGGGUUAAGGAAAGUGGCUUCGAGAGCUCAGAUCACUACUUCUCCUCCAUUCGGAUUGGUUCAGGAGGCGGUAAGCUGGUACCGUUGCCGUGGAUAUUGGGUUCCUUUCAAGCUUCAAGACAAUUAUGUAAGUUCUAUUCUUUCUGUGUUUUCUUCUUAUAGCUCCUUUUUAUGUUCUUACCGCUCAAUACGAAGCACAUUGAUACAAUAUGCAUUGUAUACUUAAAGUUGAUGCUUUGAUGGUGACUGUCCACUGUUCAUUAAAAUGGAGUCGAGUAUAAUUUUGCAAGUGAGUAGCAUUUCUUGAGUGGAAUUGAGUUAUUGAAUUUUCAUAUAUUAACUUUCUCGAGUUCCUAGCAACAUAUAGUGUAAGGUAUCAAGAUCGUCUAAAAUGUUAGUUUUGUCUCUGAGAUUAUCACUAAGUAUCAAGCCUUGCAUGUGUUUGUAGUGGGUGAUCUUGUGAUGAGCAUUGUGUAUCAAGAAAUGGAAAUGGAAAUGCAGUCAUUAUAUAUUAAGCAAGGUUUCUCAUUUACUUUAUAACUAACUUAAUAUUGGUCCAACAUAUUAUCUCCGAACCACUCAUCAUUCCGCAUGCAACCUAUAUCUCAAUUCCACGCCUGCAACGAAAUUCUAUUUUGACCCUGAGUAUCAAGCCAUUGCAGAGUUCACAUCUAGCUUAGAAGCCCCAUUAGGAGAAGCUUUUCCCUGCAUCGAUACCAAAGAAGGGAUAAAAAAAGGAAAUUAUCUCAAUCGGAGAGCUAAACAAGUUCAUUCCAAUUCUGACGAGCAGACACAGGAGGCUGAUUUUAUUUGCAAGGGUCGGAUUGUUAAAGUCAUGCAACAAAAUGGGUGGACUUUCAUCUCCUGCACUGGCUGCUGCAGGAAGCUUGACAAAUUUGGACUUCCCUACAUGUUUUUAAUAAAUCUUCAACACAUCUCUAUUUUUUCCGGCCACAUCAUCAACCCUCCACUGUUUUUGUUUCCUUCAUUUUCCUACCGUUUCUUGCAUUUGCUACUUCAGACUUUGCAUUUAAGUUCAGGUUUCAAGGCUUUUGUUUUAUUUCAGACAGUUAUGAUUUUAAUAAUUAUGAAAAUGGGUUGACGAAUUAUUUGGUA